rnacentral:lncRNA from 1 species
AGGAGAAUGACAGCCUCCACACAAUCUGUCCCGAAAGUCUUCUCAUCUCUCCACUUCAUGAGCCUUACUCCUUGCCUUCAUAAAAAUAAGAAAACAGUGGCCCCUCUGGAUGACUUCUUGGCAAGAGGAAGAUACUUUUUUACAGAAGAAAAAGGUGGUGCCUUCCCCCUUCUUCCAGUGUUACUGUGUCCAGAAGAAUUUAUGGCAGUGUUGAAAAAUUAGCCAUGUAAUGAACUGCAACAAGAGUCCACUCAACUAAAUCCCAGGUAAUAAGGCCUUUACAGUUAUCCCAAUCCCUGGUGACACUUGCAACCAUUUGAUCUGCAAGGAAGACACAAAUUGCAACACGGACAAAAUAUACACAGCACAAGAGGCAUCACUAAAGACUCUUGCCCCAUAGGGAAAAGCUGAGAUUCACUUGUCCCCAAGUAGCUUGAAAACUGGUCAGAAGAAAACAGUGACAACACUCUGAAGAGUUUGCUAUUCCUCGAUUUGCAGUCAGUAUAAAUACACCAUUUUUUAAAAGGAAACAUUUGAGAUGACUGCACUGUAUACCAGUUUGUGCUCACCAUUUGACACAUCUGUGACAUUUUUGCUUCCAGAAAGGCAGUAAACAGUAAGCAGACUAAGGCAAGAACUUUUUUCCCACAGUGUCUUGAAUCUGGUCCUGUUUAUCUUUCUAUAACAACGGAAACAGAUGUAUUUUUGUGCUUGCAACUUUCCAGAUGUAUCACUCUAAAAUGCCGUCUGCUGUUCAGAGAUGUUGCUAGUAUUUAGAGCAGAGAAGCCUUUGCCAAGUUAAUUAUUUGACUCAAGACAUUGCAGUUUCUGCAGAGUCUACUUUCUGUGGUAGACAUCUCAUUAGGAUUUAUCUGGGGUUCUGUUGAAGUAUGUUGUGAUCACAGACUCUCAGCAAAGUGGACCUUUACCAGAAUUUAGGGCUCCUGGAAGCAAUAACUGACAGCAGUGAAGAAGACCUGAAGCUCAGAAUCAUUGAUGGAUAAAAUUGCUUAAAUCCCGCUGUCACCUUAGGUCGGAAUUGAUCCAAGGCCAUGUACAAGCCUCAGUGUCAGGUUAAGGUUAUGUAUCCCUAGUUAUGGAAAAACCAGAGCCAGAAUAGCAGGCAAAACCUGAUAGAGUCACACUGAGUCAGAGAACCUGUUUUGAGAAGAGCAUCUUUCCUUUUCCCUAUAUUAUAGUAUUCCUUCACUAACUGUGCUUGCUCCUUCCACAAACUGUAAACUUAGCCAAAAGAUAUACAUUUUUAUCUUUAUAGCUCACAGUACCAAAAUGCUGAGCAGCAUAAACACUAAACAGACUUUCAAUUUGAAGCUAUGUAAAACGUGACACUUACAACAACAGUAAAAGAUACAUUUUUUUUUCCAAUUGAACACAAAACAUUCAGCAAGAUAGACUAUA